rnacentral:rRNA from 1 species
AUACGUAGGGGGCGAGCGUUGUCCGGAAUGAUUGGGCGUAAAGGGCGCGUAGGCGGCGCGGUAAGUCUGGAGUGAAAGUCCUGCUUUCAGGGUGGGAAUUGCUUUGGAUACUGCCGCGCUUGAGUGCAGGAGAGGUUAUCGGAAUUCCUGGUGUAGCGGUGACAUGCGUAGAGAUCGGGAGGAACACCAGUGGCGAAGGCGGGUAACUGGACUGCAACGGACGCUGAGGCGCGAAAGUGUGGGGAGCAAACAGGAUUAGAUACCCUGGUAGUCCACAUUGUAAACGAUGAAUGCUAGGUGUAAGAGGUAUCGACCCCUUUUGGGCCGGAGUCAACACAAUAAGCAUUCCGCCUGGGGAGUACGGCCGCAAGGUUGAAACUCAAAUGAAUUGACGGG